CUUAUGACUAGGUACUUUCGUAUUUUAAUAGUCUAUGUCUUGUUUUCUCUGCUGUCUUCCAGAAUUAGCUUAUUUUAAUGGUAUUUUUCUUUCAGCCUUUUACCUUUAUUCUUAGACUGUUGGAGUUUAUAACAUCAAUUUAAUCUCUCUCUCAUGUUUUUCUCCUCUUAUUUUAGUAGUAACAAAUUUUCUUCAGGAACGAAGCUUUAAUGUCUUUUAAUGAUGUGUCAUUUACAGAUGAGUGCUCUGGUUGUAGCAUAUCCACUUCUGGUUUAAUUAGACUGCUGCUCUUCUAGGUUCCUUUCAUCUUUCAAAAUAUAUCCUGCCAUUCUCUAUUUUCCCCUUGCACUUCUUCUAUCUUGUUUCUAAUUAUCAUGAGAGUUGAAGAGCUUGCCUACUUUUAAUGUUCUUCGGCUUCACAGAGCCUGUAUCAUUGCUUGCAGAUAACAGGUGCUGGCAACAAACAAACCUGCUCAGCAAGCUCAGAUAUUUGUUUUUCCAAAGGAAAAAAAAAAAAAAAAAAAAAAAAAAAAAAAAGAGAAAAAAGAAACAUGCAUCAUGAAAAAAGAAGAGGUUCUUUACAGUACAAGACAGAGAGAAAUAUUGAACUGAUUAAAUUAUUUAUUUAGCAUUCCACUUGUAUAUACACUAACAUAAACUUUAUCUUGUUUCUUUAACCCUGGAGGGUAGCCAUGUCAUAUAACAUUAAUGAGUUUAUCCAUAUUUUUGAAUGUGCUUUGAACAAAGCAAAUGUCCCAAGUGUCUGUUGAUCGUGAUCUUCGCUUUCUGAAGACUAUCCAGAGUCACACUUUACCCUCUCUUUCAUGGUUAAGAUGAAGCAUCUGCUGCCUGCUUUCUUCAUUAUCAUCAUAAAGAGGGAGAGUUUAAAAGCUAGAAGGAUGGUGAAAGAGUGUAGCAUGAACUUGAAAGACUGCCUCUGGCCACCCAAAUUUAUUGCACUUCAACUCAUCCAUGUGCUUCAUGCUCUGGUAACACUUCACUGCCCAUACUGGUCCCUGUAUGCCACCAAACUUUAA
rnacentral:lncRNA from 1 species